GGUGAUGAGCUAUUGUCCGUUAAUGGAGUCAAUGUUAAGGGGAAGUCAGCAUUUGACGUGUCCUCUCUGCUACAAGGUCCAAAGGAAACAUUCGUGACUAUUGAGGUUAAACAUGGAAAUUGUGGCCCUAUUCAAUCUAUUAGGGUCCAAAGGCAACCUGCUGCUCGGACGCCAGUAUUUUAUCGUUUAGAAAAAAAUGAUAAGGAAG
rnacentral:misc_RNA from 1 species